AAAACUACUUUCCAUGCUGGGAUCCUCUUCUAGAGAAUUCUGAAUGUGCUCUCCUGUGAAUUAAAGGCAUAUGGACAUCUGAUUGACUGAGUGCAUGUUAUCAGCCAAUCAGAAGUAUUCACUAAUUAACAAGAGUGCUCAUUUGUAGUGAAUAAAGCUGCAGGCAACAGUGACUUCAGAGAUUUCCUGAAAAAGAAGAAGAGUGACUCUUGACAAGGAAUGAGGUGCUCUUAAGGACAUAGCUCUAAGCAGUUUUAUGAAGAUGAUGUGGACUUCUCUGGAAAGGUUUAUUGGAGCACCAGAAGAUUAACUUGAAGCAGAAUGAUUGUAAAAGAACAUUUUGCUGUGUUGGCAGAAAUCUAAGAAAAUUCUUACAACUUUGUUGAAAAAUCAAAUAAAUAAAUUUGCUUUCAACAUAA